GCCCUCGUAGCUCAGUGGAUAGAGCAGUCGAUUCCUAAUCGAUUGGUCGCAAGUUCGACUCUUGCCGAGGGCG
rnacentral:tRNA from 1 species